rnacentral:rRNA from 1 species
GAUGAACGCUGGCGGCGUGCCUAAUACAUGCAAGUCGAGCGAACAGACGAGGAUCUUGCUCUUCUGACGUUAGCGGCGGACGGGUGAGUAACACGUGGAUAACCUACCUAUAAGACUGGGAUAACUUCGGGAAACCGGAGCUAAUACCGGAUAAUAUAUUGAACCGCAUGGUUCAAUAGUGAAAGACGGGUUUGCUGUCGCUUAUAGAUGGAUCCGCGCCGCAUUAGCUAGUUGGUAAGGUAACGGCUUACCAAGGCGACGAUGCGUAGCCGAACUGAGAGGGUGGUAGGCCACCUUGGAACGGAGACACGGUCCAGGCUACUACGGGAGGCAGCAGUCGGGAAUCUUACGCAAUGGGGGAGAGCCUGACGGAGCAACGCCGCGUGAGUGAUGAAGGUCUUCGGAUCGUAAAACUCUGUUAUUAGGGAAGAACAAAUGUGUAAGUAACUAUGCACGUAUUGACGGUACCUAAUCAGAAAGCAACGGCUAACUACGUG